rnacentral:misc_RNA from 1 species
UCCGGCUUGUCACCGGCAGUUUCUCCAAAGUGCCCAGCAUUACCUGAUGGCAACUGGAGACGAGGGUUGCGCUCGUUGCGGGACUUAACCCAACAUCUCACGACACGAGCUGACGACAGCCAUGCACCACCUGUAUACCGACCUUGCGGGGGCUACAUCUCUGCAGCUUUCCGGUAUAUGUCAAACCUAGGUAAGGUUCUUCGCGUUGCAUCGAAUUAAUCCGCAUGCUCCGCCGCCUGUGCGGACCCCCGCCAAUUCCUUUGAGUUUCAACCUUGCGGUCGUACUUCCCAGGUGGUAAACUUAACGCUUUCGCUUGGACACUAACAGUAUAUCGCUAAUGUCGAGUUUACAUCGUUUAGGGCGUGGACUAC